AUUCCUACGGGAGGCAGCAGUAAGGAAUCUUCCACAAUGGGGGCAACCCUGAUGGAGCAACGCCGCGUGAAGGAUGAAGGCCUUAGGGUCGUAAACUUCUUUUGUUAGCGAAGAAUAUGACGGUAACUAACGAAUAAGGGCCGGCUAACUACGUGCCAGCAGCCGCGGUCAUACGUAGGGCCCGAGCGUUAUCCGGAGUGACUGGGCGUAAAGAGUUGCGUAGGCAGCUUAAUAAGUGGAUAGUGAAACCUGGUGGCUCAACCAUACAGACUAUUAUCCAAACUGUUAAGCUCGAGAAUGGUAGAGGUGAUUGGAAUUUCUAGUGUAGGAGUGAAAUCCGUAGAUAUUAGAAGGAACACCAAUGGCGUAGGCAGAUCACUGGACCACUUCUGACGCUAAGGCACGAAAGCGUGGGGAGCGAACCGGAUUAGAUACCCGGGUAGUCCACGCCGUAAACGAUGGAUGCUAGCUGUGGGGGGUAUCGACCCCCUCCGUAGCGAAGCUAACGCGUUAAGCAUCCCGCCUGUGGAGUACGGCCGCAAGGCUAAAACAUAAAGGAAUUGACGGGGACCCGCACAAGCGGUGGAGCGUGUUCUUUAAUUCGAUGAUAAACGAAGAACCUUACCAGGGCUUGACAUCCCGAGAAUUUUGUCGAAAGACGAGAGUGCUUUAUUGAACUCGGUGACAGAUCCUGCAUGGCCGUCGUCAGCUCGUGUCGUGAGAUGUUUGGUUAAGUCCAUCAACGAGCGCAACCCUUGUGAUUAGUUGAAUUUUUCUAAUCAUACUGCCCCGGUAACGGGGAGGAAGGAGGGGAUGAUGUCAGGUCAGUAUUAGUCUUACGUCCUGGGCUAGAAACGCGCUACAAUGGCCAGUACAACGGGCAGCCAACCCGCAAGGGGGAGCAAAUCCCAUCAAAACUGGUCCCAGUUCGGAUAAGAGGCUGAAACUCGCCUCUUUGAAGUCGGAAUCGCUAGUAAUCGCAGAUCAGCAUGUUGCGGUGAAUACGUUCCCGGGCCUUGUACACACCGCC
rnacentral:rRNA from 1 species